AAAGAAAGGAAACCACAUGGAGUGUCUGCUUAGUGAAAGAGAGGUAAGGGAGACGGCUGUCAGUGUGGAAGAAUGUUACGGAGACCUCACACAACUAAGGGCCCGGCUUUGGUUCCCAGAGUGGGGCUUCCCCCUUUUCCUCCUUCUUUUUAUAACAGCUUUAUUAAGAUACAAUGCACAUACCACAUAAUUCACCAAUGUGUACAGUUCAACUGCUCUCAGCACGUUCACAUCCAUCAUCACACUCAACUUUAAACACUUCAUUGUUCCCAAAAGAAACCCUGUACCCAUGAGUAGUCACUCCGCGUUCCCUUUAACACCUCCAGCACCUGACUACCACUAAUAAGCUUCCUGUCUCCAUGGCUUUGCCUAUUCUGGACAUUUCAUAUGAAUGGAAUCACACAGCAUAUGAUCUGUGUCUGGUUUUCUGGUUCAUCCAUGUUGUGGUGUAUGUCAGUGCUUCAUCCCUUUUUAUGGCUGAGGAAUAUUCCAUAUCAUACAGCAAGACCACAUGUUGUUUAUCCAUUCAUCUGUUGAUGGGCAUUUGGGUUGUUUCCACUUUUAGCCACUAUGAGUAAUGCUUCUAUGAACAUUCUUUUUUUUUUUUUUUUAAAGGUUAUUUAUCUUUCAACAUAAUUCUCACU
rnacentral:lncRNA from 10 species